AGAGUGUCCCCGACAAUGGGAGGCUAUGAACUUGGUCAGGUGAGAAAUCAAGCAGCCAUAAGUAGUUACUUUCAUGUGUCGGGGCACCCCCCUGU
rnacentral:SRP_RNA from 1 species